rnacentral:lncRNA from 9 species
GGAAGCAGGGGCGGAGCUGUGGGGGUGGGGAAAGUCAGCAGGACGCUGGAGAAGAUAGACCCUGUGAGCCCUGGGUGCCCGGGGCCGGGGGUUCCCAGCUCCUGGGCUGCCAAGGGCCUGGGUCAUCGGGCCUAGAACUGGGGAUUCGAGGACACUGUCAGCUGCAAACUCCCGCUGUGGUCACAGGCAGCCCUGGCAGAGCAGACGGCCCCCCACCUGUACUGAGGCUGGUUUUCUCUAGGGAGAGGGUCUCUGGGGAGGGUCUCUCUCCAUGGGCCCCUUUGCAGGAUCCCAGGGACACAGGGAUGUCUCCUCUGAAGUUGUCUAGGAGCAGAUCCUCGAAGACCCAGGGGACUCGAGCGGUGCAAACCUGCAGCCUGGAGACUCUCUGCCCAGGGAGUGUGAGGGCUCUUACACCCCUGCCCUCACUCUGACACCAGGACAGGGCGGCAGAGCCACCACGGCCUUCCCGGAGCCCCUGCGGGAAUGUUUCCUGCCGGAGUCCAGCUCCAGCAGCCAGGGUGUCCCUGCGGGGAUGGACAGUGUCGGGGAUGCACACGGAGACCGCCUCUUUGUCCCUUCUCUCAGGGCGCUGGACUGCUCAAAUUUCAUUAGCAUAGGUAGCAGUUUAUAUGGAUAGCUUAAUUGUAACUUACAUUACAGUGCUUAGGUCAUAUUCUUAAAGGUUAAACUUUUAGAUUACAUGGUACAGUAGAUAUACAUUGUAUUCUAAGGAUUUUAAUGAAAACCAACGGAUACAAUACAUCAUGUAACACUACAAUGGGUACAAAACAUCAUGUGGAAAAAACGUUAUAUGAAAAUAAGGCGAUUCGGUAAAAAACGUUUUGUGGUUACUUUUAGCAAGCACCACCUGUUAUUGUUUUAAGCUAAUCUUUAACAACUAGAAAGGUCACAAGCAUAAGAAUUUGACAUUUACAAAAACUCAUGUUUUGGAUUAAAGCUUGGGGUGCUAACUUCAAAGCGUUAUGGUCAGGGGACAGUAUGAGAAAAUAUUUUUUUAUAUCAAAGCAACUUAGUUUCAUAAAACUUAAAAGCUUAUUACAAAAUUCAUUAAAAGCAAGAUUAUUAUGUUUUUCCAUGUAUGUCUAACCUAUUCGUAAGCUAUGGUACAUAGCACAAUUGCCUAACUCUACAACCCAUUCUUACUUGUAACAAACUAACGAAUACUUUGUUUUUCCCUACAUUGGAUCUGAAUAGGGGGAAUUCAACCAAAGUGAAGCUCUUAUUAUUUUAUUACUGUUCCAAUUUUUUGUUGUUCCAAUUUUAUUGAGUCACAAAACAAUAUAGGAGAAUAACAAAAAAUAACAAACAAAUAACAGGAAAGAUUGAAUAAUAAGUAAAUAACAAGAAAGACUGAUUUUUCCCAGAAGUGGUUUUAUUCUUGUACUGUUGUGCAAAGCCUUCAUCUUGUUAUUGUUGAUGUUGUUGUCGGGUUAGCAGGUGAGCCUCAUUAUUUUUAGAACUUGCCCUCGGAACUGUGCUGCCAGGUAAGCCCUUUCCCCUAUUUCUAAACCUGCCCUCGGAACUGUGCCAGCGGGUAGGCUUUGUUCCUCGGUGAGGAACCCUGCCUUUGGAACCGUGCUGUCAGGCUAGUUCCCUUCCUCGGCCUCCUGCAUGUCCUCGGCUCCCCGCAGUUUCUGAGGAGAGUGGCGUCGGUCCCCGAUGGAGCACAUAGGCGGAGCUUGUCAUUAACGGAUGGUGCGCGAGCGCCAGGCAGGGACACCAAUGAACUCCUGCCGGUUGUGUCUUUCUGACAAACCCAACAGCCUCCCUAGAGCGGGUAUCUAGGAUGAUCUCUCUCUCACGGAUGGUUGAGUCGCCCCUAGGACCUGGUGGCCUGCUCACAAAGUCUCCUUCCCAGCCUCAGAUUGCCUUCAGAAGCUUCCUUAUCACGCCCCGCGCCUGUGUUAUUAAUAAAGUCCACCCAUUUAAUGAAGUUAGAGCGUCAGUCCCACCUCGUGUUAGAGGAGACAAGAUCAGUAAACCACAGGAAGCCAGGACCAUGCAGGGUCUCGGCCGUGCCUCUGCCUGCUCCCAAGCAGCUCCUGAGCUGUGGGGACGUCCGACCCCUGGGCCUGGGCCACGUGCUGCUGCACACCCACCUGCACAGCUCUGAUUGCCCGCCGCCUUCCUGUCUGCCUGGCACACGGCACAGCUUGUCCUAAUUCGCUGUGGUUUCCUCUGAACACGGCAGUGAGUUUCCUCAGACAUCCCUCUGGGGUCUUCCCUGGUUUCUUGGAAGAAUCCUUCCUUCUCAGCAUUAGUGAUGCUUCUCCUGGCUUCAUCCCACACCCCGAGGCCUCUGAUGGCAGCUCUUAAGAGCCCCGGCUCCUCUGAUGGACCCAAACACUUGGCAUGAGGUUAAGUUAUGACAAACUGCCCUCCUUCCUGGUUUUUUUUGAAUUUUCAUCUUGUGGAGUGUACAAGUCGUAACUGCACAGCCCCUGGGUCUUGAUGAUGCGUAAAGCGCUAUCAGGCUGUAGAACAGCGUCCUCACCUCUGGAAGUUCCCAUCAUGCUUCUUCCCCUGACAGGACCACAGUUCUGAUUUUUUCUGCCAUAAAAUAGUCUUGCACAUUCUAGACCCAUUCACAUAGAACAGAAUCAUACAAUGCACACUCUUUUGUGUAAGGCUUCUUUCACUUGGCACAAUGUUUCUGAGGUCCACCCAUGCUGUUUUGCGUAUCUAAAGUCUGUUUCUUUAGAGUGCUGGGCAAUCUGCUGUUAUGUGACUCUACCACAAUUUGUUUUUUCCAUUUUCUUACCCCUGAAAAACUGGGCUAAUUUUAUAUUUUGGCUGAAUGAAUAAAGUGGCUCCAGAAUUCUUGUACAA